rnacentral:rRNA from 1 species
GGGAUAGCCCAGGGAAACCUGGAUAAUACCGGAUGAGACGGGACCCGCGAUGGCGGGACCCGGGAAAGGCGCUGCGGCGCCGCCGGGGGAUGAGUCUGCGUCCCAUUAGCUAGACGGCGGGGUAACGGCCCACCGUGGCGACGAUGGGUAGCCGGCCUGAGAGGGUGGACGGCCACAUUGGAACUGAGACACGGUCCAGACUCCUACGGGAGGCAGCAGCUAAGAAUCUUCCGCAAUGGGCGAAAGCCUGACGGAGCGACGCCGCCGUGAACGAAGAAGGCCGUGAGGUUGUAAAGUUCUUUUCGGGAGGGGGAACAACCGGUGGCAGGGAAUGGCCGCGGGAUGACGUGAAUCCCGGAAUAAGCCCCGGCUAACUACGUGCCAGCAGCUGC